UACGAAAGUAGGCUUCCGCAAGGACACUCGUAGAGGUGCUGCAUGGCUGUCGUCAGCUCGUGUCGUGAGAUGUUGGGUUAAGUCCCGCAGCGAGCGCAACCCUUGUCUUCUGUUGCCAUCGGGUCAAGCCGGGCACUCUGAAGAGACUGCCGGUGACAAACCGGAGGAAGGUGGGGAUGACGUCAAGUCAGCAUGGCCUUUAUGUCUGGGGCCACACACGUGCUACAAUGGCCGGUACAAACCGUUGCAAACUCGCGAGGGUGAGCUAAUCGGAGAAAGCCGGUCUCAGUUCGGAUUGUAGGCUGCACCUCAGGAGCAUGAAGUUGGAAUCGCUAGUAAUCGCGGAUCAGCACGCCGCGGUGAAUACGUUCCCGGG
rnacentral:rRNA from 1 species